AUUGAACGCUGGCGGCAGGCCUAACACAUGCAAGUCGAGCGGAUGAAGGGAGCUUGCUCCUGGAUUCAGCGGCGGACGGGUGAGUAAUGCCUAGGGAUCUGCCUGGUAGUGGGGGAUAACGUCCGGAAACGGGCGCUAAUACCGCAUACGUCCUGAGGGAGAAAGUGGGGGAUCUUCGGACCUCACGCUAUCGGAUGAGCCUAGGUCGGAUUAGCUAGUUGGUGGGGUAAAGGCCUACCAAGGCGACGAUCCGUAACUGGUCUGAGAGGAUGAUCAGUCACACUGGAACUGAGACACGGUCCAGACUCCUACGGGAGGCAGCAGUGGGGAAUAUUGGACAAUGGGCGAAAGCCUGAUCCAGCCAUGCCGCGUGUGUGAAGAAGGUCUUCGGAUUGUAAAGCACUUUAAGUUGGGAGGAAGGGCAGUAAGUUAAUACCUUGCUGUUUUGACGUUACCAACAGAAUAAGCACCGGCUAACUUCGUG
rnacentral:rRNA from 1 species